rnacentral:rRNA from 1 species
AUUGAACGCUGGCGGCAUGCCUUACACAUGCAAGUCGAACGGCAGCACGGGUGCUUGCACCUGGUGGCGAGUGGCGAACGGGAGAGUAAUACAUCGGAACGUACCUUAUCGUGGGGGAUAACGCAGCGAAAGCUGUGCUAAUACCGCAUACGCCCUGAGGGGGAAAGCGGGGGAUCGAAAGACCUCGCGCGAUUAGAGCGGCCGAUGCCUGAUUAGCUUGUUGGUGGGGUAAAAGCCCACCAAGGCGACGAUCAGUAGCUGGGCUGAGAGGACGAUCAGCCACACUGGGACUGAGACACGGCCCAGACUCCUACGGGAGGCAGCAGUGGGGAAUGUUGGACAAUGGGGGCAACCCUGAUCCAGCAAUGCCGCGUGAGUGAAGGAGGCCUUCGGGUUGGAAAGCUCUUUUGUCAGGGAAGAAACACCGGCUCUAACACAGUCCGGGAAUGACGGUACCUGAAGAAUAAGCACCGGCUAACUACGUGCCAGCCGCCGCAGUAA